GUUAUUCUGGCUCAUCAAUAAGAUCGACAUAACUCCUGCUUGGUUAGACCAUCUGAUUAGACCGGUGGCUUGUGUCUGCUAGUAUGCGUACUCAUACCUACAAGUGAACCAAACCGUGCAUUUACUAAGAACUAUUUACUCGCAUAGCAUGGAAUUUAUUUUCAUGUUAGCUCUAUUUAGGCGAUAUAUAGUUCUGCACUAUGUCUGGAAUUAAUAUUAGCCUGAUUUUAGAGGUAGAUCAGGUGGAGCUGAUGAAGAAUCGACCACAGCAGGAUAAGUCCAAGCUCACUGGGUUGGCCUUUGGUCCUAGUUAUCAGUUAAAGGACAGCUGGCCCAAAUAUCCAGAUACAGCCUGAGUCAAGAUGGGACACGCUGUGGCAACAGUCACGCGUUCUGCAGCAUGAAGAUCCGCUGGUCACGUGGAGCACUGCAUCGAUAAUCAACUGGCUAACACAGAGGAGUACAGAGCUAGAGGGCACGAGGGAUGAUAUUGCUAACUUUUUGUUUUGUUGGAUACAAUUUAUGUUUUCUAUAGGACUCUAAUAAUGUGUAUGGAUAUAACUGAGUAUGGAUGUAAUAAAUGAAUAGAAAUUUUUUU